UUCGCAAUGCCCGAAAGGGUGACGAAGCGACGCCGCGUGCGGGAAGAAGGCCUUCGGGUUGUAAACCGCUGUCGGGAGUUAAGAAAUGUAAGGAUGUUAAUAGCAUCUUUGCUUGACUAAGGCUCCGGAGGAAGCCACGGCUAACUCUGUGCCAGCAGCCGCGGUAAUACAGAGGCGGCAAGCGUUGUUCGGAAUUAUUGGGCGUAAAGAGCACGUAGGCGGCUAUGUAAGUCGGUUAUGAAAGCCUUCCGCUCAACGGAAGAACAGCAUCCGAUACUGCAUGGCUUGAGUGCGGGAGGGGAGAGUGGAACUUCUGGUGGAGCGGUGAAAUGCGUAGAUAUCAGAAGGAACGCCGGCGGCGAAAGCGGCUCUCUGGCCCAUAACUGACGCUGAGUGUGCGAAAGCUAGGGGAGCAAACGGGAUUAGAUACCCCGGUAGUCCUAGCCGUAAACGAUGGGCACUAAGUAGAGGGGUUUU
rnacentral:rRNA from 1 species